CCCCUCUGGCCAAACUAUAUUGCAAGUAAACCUUUUGAUGUUUUAAAAGUUUUUCUUAGGCAGCUAAGAAAAACACCCUGGAAAGUUAUAUUUAGUGAAUCUACCCACGUAUAAAUAUCCCUGAGCUAGUCUGCUAUCCUAUGGCAUCUGGAAGAAAGGUGUUAUUGUUGUAGAUUCCAUGACUGAAGUAUAGAAUAAUCAAUUCAAAGAGACCCUGGGGGGAAGAUUCACUCGCAUAUGCUGUGGAAACUUGGAAUCGAGUUUUUUAUAUUCUUUUUUUUUUUCCCUACAGAUGAAGGGAUAUAGAUGAAUUCAUGGUUUAGCACAAUGUCUAAUGACAUCAUUUCCCAUUCUUGCCUUAUAAUAGUUUGGUAUGUUUGAGACUACUAGCUUUAAAUUUACCAAAAAAGCUUUUUUUGUGGUUGUCAGUCCCUUUUUUUACUAUUACUUUCCUUGCUUUCUGGG
rnacentral:lncRNA from 1 species